GAAGUCGGUAAAAUAACUCUGUAACUUUAAGAAAAGGAAUGGCUCUGAAGGUUGAUCCCGUCAAAUAAAAAGUAAAAGUAUCUAUGACAUUUUGUAGUUGCCGGGUGGACUUAGCAUUUGCCCGAAUGAUAACUGAAGCUGUGUUUAUGAAUGUUAGCUGUUUCAGUUUAUUCUGCUGUAAUUGUGGUGUCAACUACUUUAGAACCGACCCAAACUGAUGGAAUUCACCUGUCUAACUAAAACAAAGCGUUGUAAUGUCCACUAAUUGGUUAUGACACAAUCUGAUUCUCCCCAAAGCUCUAAAUGUUAAAGCGAAUGUUUUUUUGAAGCGCGAGUAAGCGGCGGGUGUAUUUAUGAUUCCCAUAGUACUUGCACUGCAUAAUACAGUGCUGAUUGCAGAAAUUAUUGCUAC
rnacentral:ncRNA from 1 species